UGCGUGACCAACCUGCCCCAUGCUCCAGAAUAGCUCUUGGAAACGGGUGGUAAUGCUGGAUGCUCCAACUUGACGCAUGUCUUGUUGGGAAAGUGUUUAGUGGCAUGGGAUGGGGUCGCGUCCUAUCAGCUUGUAGGCGGGGUAAUGGCCCACCUAGGCUUCGACGGGUAGCCGGCCUGAGAGGGCGGACGGCCACAUUGGGACUGAGAUACGGCCCAGACUCCUACGGGAGGCAGCAGCG
rnacentral:rRNA from 1 species